AACUUGUCCAAAUACCUUCUGUAGUGCGGGGGACCAAAACUGGACGCAAUACUCCAGGUGUGGCCUCCCAGUGCCAAAGAGAGGGGAAUAAUCACUUCCCUCGAUGUGCUGGCAUUGGUACAUGGUUGCAAGCAUAGUCAUUUCAUGGUUGAAAUGUGUGGGCUUGUGCCAGUGGAGAAUUUGAACCUCAAUGCUAUUAAAGUUCUUCCUGUACCAGUAGCUCACCCAGGUAACCUUUAUUAACUACAUCCCCUUUUAACUUGGGAACAACUGAUUAUUUGAGUAGACAGUGGUUACAAUUACAUUUAAUGCAAACCAAAGGAGAGGUGGCGUGCAAAAGUUUGUUGUUCAACAGGUUUCCCUGGAAGUUGGUGUUAAUGGGUAAAAACUGCCUACGUCCCAUGUUCUAAAGUAACAUAGGCAUUUGAAAAAACAAAGUUCAUUAACUUUAAAUGGGAGUUAGUUUCUUUAGACAAUGUCUUUGACUUUUAACAAUUUUACCCAAAUCCUCAAGUUAAAAUAGACGGGGAGGAGGGAACAUCCCAGAACUAACCAAAUUCUGGUGAAAGUGCUGUCUCUGAGAAAUAUUGAGGGGGGCAAAUUUGGUAAGCCUAAGAUUUGCAGUGUAGCACCGACCUAGAAGUACAGCGUGCUGACUCCACAAGGUGCUGGGAAGGGGAUAAGACUUCAUAGUUGCAUAGGGCUGAAUGUAAUUUUAUGUAGAAUCAUAGAAGAUUAGGGUUGGAAGAGACCUCAGAAGGUCAUCUAGUCCAACCCUCUGCUUAAAGCAGGACUAACACCAGCUAAAUAGCGAGUGACCUCAAUAAGAUGGCGGUGCUAGGAAGUUUUUGAGGGUUUUGAA